AUGGUGGAAGGAUCCAGCUAUGUCAUAAUGCAGGGAAGGAGAAUUUCAGGCGGAAGGAACCAUAAAUGUAAGGCCCAUUGGUUGGCUUAAGGGUAGUGUGUUCUAUCUGCAAAAGGCGACCUCCCUGAUUAGAUCAUCACAAGUGAUGGGGGAAGGUGGGAAGACUCCAAGAAAAAAAGUAGGUGGUACAGACUGGACAUAAUUGUUAAGAGGAAGAAAGAAGAGAAGGAAUAGAAUCAAACCAGAGAGCCCAGAAAUAUGGAUGGCUUUGAAAGAAAUGCCCCGUGAUUACCUGGAGUCAGAUGGAGCAUCAGCCCAGAAUUCCACAUGAGGAAGUCAUGGGUGCUGGUUUUUUUCACUCUGCACUGCUCCCCAGAAGUUCUCUACAUGAAAGGAUUCAUUUAUUCAGAAUCAACUCUCUUCCCUGUCAAAAUGCAUUAACCAGAACCCUGAAGGUUGAGUGAGGCUGACAGACUCUGACAAUUCCCUCCCAUAGAGACCCCCUUCUGAAGUUGCUGAUCUUCUUUCCCCUUUACCUGCCCCCAUGCUGGAUUCUUGGAUGUGGAUGAUGGGGGAGGUAAUAUGGGAAGAAUUUUAUAUCUUGAGGGAUACUUCUUAUUCUGCGAUUGUAUACUGUGUUUAAAGUCAUUUUAUCUAGGCAGGGGUGAACUACAAAUAGCUUCUCCGUAUCCUUCUGUUCCCUUCUCCUUGC
rnacentral:lncRNA from 1 species